UACAGAGGUCCCAAGCGUUGUUCGGAUUCACUGGGCGUAAAGGGUGCGUAGGUGGUGAGGUAAGUCGGAUGUGAAAUCUCCGGGCUCAACCCGGAAACUGCAUUGGAAACUACCUUGCUUGAGGAUUUGAGGGGGGAUUGGAAUACUUGGUGUAGCAGUGAAAUGCGUAGAUAUCAAGUGGAACACCAGUGGCGAAGGCGAAUCCCUGGAAAAUACCUGACACUGAGGCACGAAAGCUAGGGGAGCAAACGGG
rnacentral:rRNA from 1 species